GGAAUGCUUGGAUAGCUCAGUUGGUUAGAGUGUGGUGCUGAUAACACCAAGGUUGCAGGUUCGAUAGCUGUGUAUUCCU